rnacentral:rRNA from 1 species
GACGAACGCUGGCGGCGUGCUUAACACAUGCAAGUCGAACGGAAAGGCCCUGCUCUUGUGGGGUGCUCGAGUGGCGAACGCGUGAGUAACACGCGAGUAACCUGCCCUUGACUUCGGGAUAACUUCAGGAAACUGGGGCUAAUACCGGACAGGAGCUCUUGCUGCAUGGUGGGGGUUGGAAAGAUUCGGCGGUUCGGGAUGGACUCGCGGCUCAUCAGCUUGUUGGUGGGGUAGUGGCUUACCAAGGCUUCGACGGGUAGCCGGCCUGAGAGGGUGACCGGCCACAUUGGGACUGAGAUACGGCCCAUACUCCUACGGGAGGCAGCAGUGGGGAAUAGUGCAGGAUGGGCGGAAGCCUGAUGCAGCAACGCCGCGUGGGAGAUGACGGCCGGCGGGUAGUAAACCGCUUUCGCCUGUGACGAAGCGUGAGUGACGGUAAUGGGUAAAGAAGCACCGGCUAACUACGUG